CCAAUAGCGUAUAUUAAAGUUGUUGCAGUUAAAAAGCUCGUAGUUGAAUUUCGGGAUCAGUACGCCGGUCGUGCCUUCGGUAUGUACUGGUGUCACUGAUUCCUCCCUUCUGAAGAACCGUUAUGCCAUUCAUUUGGUGUGACGGGGAAUCAGGACUGUUACUUUGAAAAAAUUAGAGUGUUUAAAGCAGGCUCGCGCUUGAAUACAUUAGCAUGGAAUAAUGAAAUAGGACGUUUGAUCUUAUUUUGUUGGUUUCUAGGAUCGACGUAAUGAUUAAUAGGGAUAGUUGGGGGCAUUAGUAUUCAAUUGUCAGAGGUGAAAUUCUUGGAUUUAUUGAAGACUAACUACUGCGAAAGCAUUUGCCAAGGAUGUUUUCAUUAAUCAAGAACGAAAGUUAGGGGAUCGAAGACGAUCAGAUACCGUCGUAGUCUUAACCAUAAACUAUGCCGACUAGGGAUCGGAUGAUGUUAUUUUUAAUGACUCAUUCGGCGCCUUACG
rnacentral:rRNA from 1 species